UUGCCUUCUUGACUAGUUAUCUGCUUUACAAAAUGUUAAGGCCCUGCUUAGUAAACAGAAAAUGUUUUCCAUUUUCUAUUGGAAAACUUGGAAAUAUGUUCAAAUUCAACUAAUUUUCAACUUAUAAAAUACUCAGUUACUUAACUCGAAAUAUUUUAUAUAAAAUAUAAGUAUAAAGUAUAAAUAUGAUUGGUAAGUAACGAGGUGUAUUGUGUAGUAAGGCUGUAAGUAGAUCGGAGAAGGGAUUGGUAUGUAAAUCAGUGGUGGUAGUGGACCAGUGGUGUAAGUAGGUAUAGAUAGCAGUAGAUAGGUGGGGUAGAAGUUUAUAUAACUGAUUCUAGGGAGUGCUUAUAAGUUAUAACAUACAACACACAAGUAAAUCAAUGUUAGAAAAAUGAUCUUGUAAAGUCUGAAGUUAUUUAAAUUUAAAAGCUUUAUCUUGCCAUUCACCUAUGUACUUUAAUUUGCUGCUCGAUCUACCAUGUGAUGCUCGGCAGUUUUUAGCUUCUGAACAAAGUCAUACUCCUUACAUUUGCCUCUGUAAUUCUCGAACGGUGUUUUAAUAAAACUUCCUUUUAUUA